rnacentral:rRNA from 1 species
UUGAACGCUGGCGGCAGGCUUAACACCUGCAAGUCGAGCGGGGGAAGGUAGCUUGCUACCGGACCUAGCGGCGGACGGGUGAGUAAUGCUUAGGAAUCUGCCUAUUAGUGGGGGACAACAUCUCGAAAGGGAUGCUAAUACCGCAUACGUCCUACGGGAGAAAGCAGGGGAUCUUCGGACCUUGCGCUAAUAGAUGAGCCUAAGUCGGAUUAGCUAGUUGGUGGGGUAAAGGCCUACCAAGGCGACGAUCUGUAGCGGGUCUGAGAGGAUGAUCCGCCACACUGGGACUGAGACACGGCCCAGACUCCUACGGGAGGCAGCAGUGGGGAAUAUUGGACAAUGGGGGGAACCCUGAUCCAGCCAUGCCGCGUGGGUGAAGAAGGCCUUAUGGUUGUAAAGCACGUUAAGCGAGGAGGAGGCUACUUUAGUUAAUACCGAGAGAUAGUGGACGUUACUCGCAGAAUAAGCACCGGCUAACUCUGUG